rnacentral:rRNA from 1 species
UACGGGGGGAGCAAGCGUUGUUCGGAUUUACUGGGCGUAAAGGGCGCGUAGGCGGCGCAACAAGUCAGUUGUGAAAUCUCUGGGCUUAACCCAGAGCGGUCAACUGAUACUGUCGUGCUAGAGUGCGGAAGGGGCAACUGGAAUUCUCGGUGUAGCGGUGAAAUGCGUAGAUAUCGAGAGGAACACCUGCGGCGAAGGCGGGUUGCUGGGCCGACACUGACGCUGAGGCGCGAAAGCUAGGGGAGCGUACGGG